rnacentral:rRNA from 1 species
UCAAGAAACUUCCACAAUGGGCGAAAGCCUGAUGGAGCGACGUCGCGUGAUGGACGAAGUGCUUCGGCACGUAAACAUCUUUUAUGUGGGAUGAAAUUAUUGACAGUACCACAUGAAUAAGGGGCUCCUAACUCUGUGCCAGCAGGAGCGGUAAUACAGAGGCCCCAAGCGUUAUCCGGAAUCACUGGGCGUAAAGGGUGUCGAGGCGGUUGUAUUAGUCGUUCGUAAAAUCUACGAGCUUAACUUGUAGGCGGCGAACGAAACGGUACGACUGGAGGUUUGGAGAGGUGCGUGGAACUCACGGUGUAGGGGUGAAAUCCGUUGAUAUCGUGGGGAACACCAAAGGCGAAGGCAGCGCACUGGCCAAAAUCUGACGCUCACACACGAAAGCUAGGGUAGCGAAGAGGAUUAGAUACCCUCGUAGUCCCUGAGCGGGCUGGCAAGGCGCAU